GCACCUCGUUCCCGUGCAUGUUCCCCACGUACUUGAAUUCUGGCUCCAGGGGCUCGUGGAUGCCGGGGUAGUCGCUGAACUCCAGCACGUAGAGGUGGCGGCCCUCGACGCUGCGUCCGAUGCUGUAGAUGCGGGUGACGUACGGACACUCGCUCUGCACGCGAAAUAGAGCCCGCACCAUCUCCUCGUAGCGGUGGUGCAGAAAGCUGACGGCAGCCGCCACCUCGAGCAGGAGCAGGGUCCCGGCCAGCGGCCGCAGCCACCCCGCCAUCGGCCCCCGGCUCCCUCCUCCCCGCCCGGAGCUAAAGUGCAAACUGGAACCAGCUCUUUCCAGUUCCCCCGCCAAGUGCCAGCCCCCUGCACCUGCGGGCGGGGGGCGGCGGGAGCGGGGGCAGGGAUGCUUCUGCCGGCCGUCCGCUGCCGGCCCGCUCUCCGCCGUCGGGGAAGCGUCCGGAGUACGGCUCACUCAUUAACCGGACGGCAAACAGGACCCCGCGCCCCGGGAGGCGGCAGCGAAGGGCUGGAAGCGGGCGGAGAGGAGCGGGGGCCCCCCGGGGCCACUUCGCCGGGAGGGAGCGGGGCCCCCACGGGAGGGACGCGCCGUGACCG
rnacentral:lncRNA from 1 species